GGAAAUGGUUCUCAGCAUAUCCUAAUAAUGUGGAUGUCUGCUUCUGAUUUGAAUAAAGAAAAGAUGAGUACUGUGGAGAAAUUUGUGUAUGAACAAAGAUGUCACAGUUUGUUCAUUUUAUGAGGUCUAAUUUACAUAACAGUUCACAGAGUAAAGAACAGCAUAACUUUUGUACUGUACCUUUCAUGUGAUCUGACUAUAAAAGAAAAAUGCUUUAAAUUCCUGGAUCAAUUGACAUUUAUGAGUUAGUUUGCUUUAGCAAAUUGUGUGUUUUGACAUUUUUGUCAGAUGAAUAUCAGAUCACAUGACCAAUAUAGGAUUCAGUUUUGUAUUAUUGUAUUAAAUUUAAGCACUAAAAUGUAAUAUCCCCCAAAUGUUAUAGCUCAGUUACCUUUUGUAUCUAAUAAAUUAGCUUUGUACAUUGAGCUGUCUGUGAAUAUAACUGACUUCCACUGUCCAGAUAUGGACUUAGUCCCAUGCUAUACUACCAGAUUAUGUGAGUAGGCAAAUCUUGUAUAACCUACAUAUCAUACAUGCAGGGCUGCCUUUAGUGAUUUCUGUUGAGAUAAACUUCAUUUUUCAUGCAAAAUGUAGAGGCUAUCACAUGAUGACAGUUCAUGCAGACACUAUAUAAUGAAUCCAAAGUACCCAUUUACCAGCUUCAGAGAAUUUCUCUUCCUGAAGACAUCUUCGUCUACUGGUGUUUCAGACGACUGACUGCCAGUUAACCCGCCACUCAUCAGUCAAGCAAAAGAUUCAGGGAAUCAUGAUGGUUCAGUGCACCUGCUUGCUGCUGCUGCUGCUCUCCACUGCUGUGUUCUCACAAAAUUAUAAGGACUUCAAAGUGAAACACACGCUUGUGGAGGCAAAGAAUAACAAAGAUUGUGCUACUUUGAUGAAAGCUGUCAAUGAACUGGAAAAUUCAAAAAAGACAACUCCACCGGGAAAGUGCAAGGGAAAGAAUACUUUCAUUGACGAAAGUGACGAGCAAAUAAUUCAGAACAUGUGUACACCUGAUUCUGACAAGAAAUUUGUUAACUUACCAUUUAACUCUUUUGACUGUGUGACAAAAGAUAAAAAGGAACCUUGUUCAUACACACAAGAAAAACCUAAUGAGAAAAAGAAGAUA